GACGAACGCUGGCGGCGUGCUUAACACAUGCAAGUCGAACGGAAAGGCCCUGCUUUUGUGGGGUGCUCGAGUGGCGAACGGGUGAGUAACACGUGAGUAACCUGCCCUUGACUUUGGGAUAACUUCAGGAAACUGGGGCUAAUACCGGAUAGGAGCUCCUGCUGCAUGGUGGGGGUUGGAACUUUUCGGCGGUUGGGGAUGGACUCGCGGCUUAUCAGCUUGUUGGUGGGGUAGUGGCUUACCAAGGCUUGGACGGGUAGCCGGCCUGGGAGGGUGACGGGCAACAGGGGGCUGGGGGAGGGCCCAGGGUGCAACGGGAGGCAGCAGUGGGGAAUAUUGCACAAUGGGCGGAAGCCUGAUGCAGAAACGCCGCGUGCGGGAUGACGGCCUUCGGGUUGUAAACCGCUUUCGCCUGUGACGAAGCGUGAGUGACGGUAAUGGGUAAAGAAGCACCGGCUAACUACGUG
rnacentral:rRNA from 1 species